rnacentral:rRNA from 1 species
CCUACGGGAGGCAGCAGUGAGGAAUAUUGGUCAAUGGGCGCGAGCCUGAACCAGCCAAGUAGCGUGAAGGAUGACUGCCCUACGGGUUGUAAACUUCUUUUAUAAAGGAAUAAAGUGAGGCACGUGUGCCUUUUUGUAUGUACUUUAUGAAUAAGGAUCGGCUAACUCCGUGCCAGCAGCCGCGGUAAUACGGAGGAUCCGAGCGUUAUCCGGAUUUAGUGGGUUUAAAGGGAGCGUAGAAGGGUUUGUAAGUCAGUUGUGAAAGUGUGCGGCUCAACCGUAAAAUUGCAAUUGAUACUGGCAGGCUUGAGUACAGUUGAGGGAGGCGGAAUUCGUGGUGUAGCGGUGAAAUGCUUAGAGAUCACGAAGAACUCCGAUUGCGAAGGCAGCUUACUAAACUGCCACUGACAUUGAUGCCCGAAAGUGUGGGUAUCAAACAGGAUUAGAUACCCGUGUAGUC